GACUUGAGAGAUCCUUUCUGCUUGCUAUCACUUUUAGCUUUCCUUUUAUUUUUGAUAUCCUUUAAUGUUUUUUGAGAGAAGGUUUGUUGACCAGUUGUGCUCAAGCGCAAUAUAAUUCAAGUCGUGAGCUAUUAGACAUUAUCCCUCUGAAGCAACGCUGCGCUUGUUGUGACGUGUUGCAUUUUUGUCACGAUAGUCAAGCUUGAUGCUUGUUGAAGGUAAUAUUGUGUUAAGAAGCCCAAUUAGUAAAAUCUUUUGAAUAAUAUUCAGUGUUGGAGGAAAAGAUACUCGCAUUUAAAAUGGGCUAUUACUGCCAGAGUAAAAGAAACCCAAUAUCAAGAAGACUUGCAAGUAACAUGUUGCUAUGUAGUCUCUCUGACUAUGAAAAAUAAGGACUUGCUAGGAUUUAACUGGGAACAGUUUUGAAAGAGAACUAUCCUAAAUGAGGUAACUCCUUGUCCUAUAAAUUUUAACCAGAGUUGUCUAUUAAAUAGGAAAAGACACGCAUAUUAGAGAAGAAAAUUGUCUAUUCUUUUUGUGUUAACUUAAUCCCAGAGACCGUUUGCUGUCUGAAAAUGUAAAGCCAUAGGUUUUUCCAGUGAUUUAACUUCAGUUUUUAGGAAACAAUUUUAAAAGCUUUAUACUUGUCUUUAAUUAAAUUGCAUAUUGACCAGUCAUUUGCCAAACUAUUAAUAACUCUUUUCAAUGUUUUCUAGAAGAGCAAUAUGCUUAAAUAAAUCUGAGACUUCAUUCAGUAAGGGGGUACUAGCACGUACACUAAUCAUAAAUUAAUCCUAUAUACCCAAUAGUGUGAACUUGAAGCUUGACGGACCUGUUUGCUGCAAUCCCCUGGGGAUGUUUGAUUGGCAGAAAUAUGAAUAUUAAUAUUGAUAAGAGGAAAGAUGCCUGUCAUUCUUGCCGUGCUGAUUACUAACUUGUUCAUCAGACAGUGAAUGUGGUAUUGGAAGAAAAUGGAAAAAUUGAAGCAAUCGUCAUGUGAUUGUACUAAACUUUCCUCGUGAUCCCAGAUUCCUCUCAUGACAGUUGUAUUUGGAGUUGUGGAUUUUGGUGUUGCGAGCGAGAGCCUGUUGAGAUUCCUAUUUGGAGGUUUCUAUUUUGAAGUAUGUAUUAUCCCUUUUAAAGUACAGAUUUAACGAUGUCAAAGAUGCUCCUUGAACUGCUGUCGACUUUUGUUUAAUUCAAAUUUAUCCUCCGUUUUAAAAUCAAAUCUCCAGAAUAAUCAGUGUUCCUUUUGCUCUCAUGUCCAGGAAACUCCAAAAACAACAAUAACAAACAGCCCCAAACUACUCUUACCCCAAGUCUUAUAUUUAGUGUGUCCUCAGUGUAGCAUCCCAGGGUGAAGUGCGUGGACGUGUGCAAGACUCAGUGUGGAUUCUGAAUACCUAUCAAGUUUUUUAAGCCCGUAUUGAGAGCCAAAAUAAAUUACCUCUGUUUCCUUAUAAACGCUUUCCGAUAAGUAAGCAGUAAAAUGGUUAUACUUGUGAUCAAAUUCUUCUGAUUCCGUGCCUAAAGGAAAUAUCUUUAUUUUUCUAUUUCAAUAGUUGAAAAUAAGUUUUUGGUAGCAUUUAAAGCAAGCUUGUUACGUUCAGGAAAUAAUUCUCUGCUGCGAGAAGGUGUUCAUAGCCAAAUGCUGUUUUGUCACUGUCACUGAAAACAUAAAUUAUUUGUAUUUAUACAAGUUGUACAGAAUUUUACUUGGCAAUCUGCAUAUUUAUUAAAUGAAAAAACUGGAAUUUCUGUGUUGUACUUAAGUUUUUUUUUCUGAAUAAAAGGAAUACUGUACAAAGA